AGGGCUAUAGCUCAGUUAGGUAGAGCACCUCGGUCUACGGUUCGAGUCCGUAUAGCCCUA
rnacentral:tRNA from 1 species